CCUACGGGUGGCAGCAGUGGGGAAUAUUGGACAAUGGGGGGAACCCUGAUCCAGCCAUGCCGCGUGUGUGAAGAAGGCCCUCGGGUUGUAAAGCACUUUCAGUGAGGAAGAACGCCUGGUGGUUAAUACCCAUCAGGAAAGACAUCACUCACAGAAGAAGCACCGGCUAACUCCGUGCCAGCAGCCGCGGUAAUACGGAGGGUGCGAGCGUUAAUCGGAAUUACUGGGCGUAAAGCGCGCGUAGGUGGCUUGAUAAGCCGGUCGUGAAAGCCCCGGGCUCAACCUGGGAACGGCAUCCGGAACUGUCAAGCUAGAGUGCAGGAGAGGAAGGUAGAAUUCCCGGUGUAGCGGUGAAAUGCGUAGAGAUCGGGAGGAAUACCAGUGGCGAAGGCGGCCUUCUGGACUGACACUGACACUGAGGUGCGAAAGCGUGGGUAGCAAACAGGAUUAGAUACCCCGGUAGUC
rnacentral:rRNA from 1 species